CCCUUAGAUGUUCUGGGCCGCACGCGCGCCACACUGACGAAGUCAGCGAGCAUGUCCUACGCCGACAGGUGCGGGGAAUCUUGUCAAACUUCGUCGUGAUGGGGAUUGAUUAUUGAAAUUCUUGAUCAUCAACGAGGAAUUCCUAGUAAGCGCAAGUCAGCAGCUUGCGUUGAUUACGUCCCUGCCCUUUGUACACACCGCCCGUCGCUACUACCGAUUGAAUGGCUUAGUGAGAUCUUCGGAUUGGCGCCACUGCGGCUCAGCAAUGGGCUCGGUGGAUGCCGAAAAGUUGAUCAAACUUGAUCAUUUAGAGGAAGUAAAAGUCGUAACA
rnacentral:rRNA from 1 species